UCGAACGAGAAAGGGGAGCAAUCCCUGAGUAAAGUGGCGCACGGGUGAGUAACACGUGACUAACCUACCCUGGAGUGGGGGAUAACUGAGGGAAACCUUAGCUAAUACCGCAUAAUACCUACGGGUCAAAGGAGCAAUUCGCUUUGGGAGGGGGUCGCGGCCGAUUAGUUAGUUGGCGGGGUAAUGGCCCACCAAGACGAUGAUCGGUAUCCGGCCUGAGAGGGCGCACGGACACACUGGAACUGAAACACGGUCCAGACUCCUACGGGAGGCAGCAGUGGGGAAUUUUGCGCAAUGGGGGAAACCCUGACGCAGCAACGCCGCGUGGAGGAUGAAGUCCUUCGGGACGUAAACUCCUUUCGAUCGGGACGAUUAUGACGGUACCGGAAGAAGAAGCCCCGGCUAACUUCGUGCCAGCAGCCGCGGUAAUACGAAGGGGACGAGCGUUGUUCGGAAUUAUUGGGCGUAAAGGGUGCGUAGGCGGUUUGGUAAGUCUGAUGUGAAAUCUAUGGGCUCAACUCAUAGUCUGCAUCGGAAACUGCCGGGCUUGAGUGUGGGAGAGGUGAGUGGAAUUUCCGGUGUAGCGGUGAAAUGCGUAGAUAUCGGAAGGAACACCUGUGGCGAAAGCGGCUCACUGGACCACAACUGACGCUGAUGCACGAAAGCUAGGGGAGCAAACAGGAUUAGAUACCCUGGUAGUCCUAGCCCUAAACGAUGACUGCUUGGUGUGA
rnacentral:rRNA from 1 species